UACAGAGGGUGCGAGCGUUAAUCGGAAUUACUGGGCGUAAAGCGCACGUAGGUGGCGACGUAAGUCGGGUGUGAAAGCCCCGGGCUCAACCUGGGAAUUGCAUUCGAGACUGCAUUGCUGGAGUACGGAAGAGGAAGGCGGAAUUCCCGGUGUAGCGGUGAAAUGCGUAGAUAUCGGGAGGAACAUCAGUGGCGAAGGCGGCCUUCUGGUCCAGUACUGACACUCAAGUGCGAAAGCGUGGGUAGCAAACAGG
rnacentral:rRNA from 1 species